GCGCACGUGGUGAAACUGGUAGACACGCCAUCUUGAGGGGGUGGUGCCUCGGGUGUGGGAGUUCGAAUCUCCCCGCGCGCA
rnacentral:tRNA from 1 species